rnacentral:tRNA from 1 species
GGUUAUUUAGUUUAUAUAAAACAAAUGUUUUGAAAACAUUAAAAAAGUAAGAAUUACUUAUUAAUCG